rnacentral:rRNA from 1 species
UACGAAGGGUGCAAACGUUGCUCGGAAUUAUUGGGCGUAAAGGGCGCGUAGGCGGUUUUGUAAGUCGAAUGUGAAAGCCCAGGGCUCAACCUUGGAAGUGCAUCCGAAACUGCGAAACUUGAAUCCUGGAGAGGGUGGUGGAAUUCCCAGUGUAGAGGUGAAAUUCGUAGAUAUUGGGAGGAACACCGGUGGCGAAGGCGACCACCUGGACAGAGAUUGACGCUGAGGCGCGAGAGCGUGGGGAGCAAACAGG